AUUGAACGCUGGCGGCAGGCCUAACACAUGCAAGUCGAACGCGUGGCGGACGGGUGAGUAAUGUCUGGGAAACUGCCCGAUGGAGGGGGAUAACUACUGGAAACGGUAGCUAAUACCGCAUACCAUCGGAUGUGCCCAGAUGGGAUUAGCUAGUAGGUGGGGUAAAGGCUCACCUAGGCGACGAUCCCUAGCUGGUCUGAGAGGAUGACCAGCGAACGUGGACCUGAGACACGGUCCAGACGCCUAAGGGAGGCAGCAGUGGGGAAUAUUGCACAAUGGGCGUAAGCCUGAUGCAGCCAUGCCGCGUGUAUGAAGAGGGCCUUCGGGGUGUAAAGUACUUUCAGCGGGGAGGCGUUACCCGCAGAAGAAGCACCGGCUAACUCCGUGCCAGCAGCCGCGGUAAUUU
rnacentral:rRNA from 1 species